GCUUGCGUGGCUCAGUCGGUAAAGUGUCUGACUUUGGCUCAGGUCGUGAUCUCGCAGUUCAUGGGUUCGAGUCCCGUGUCAGGCU
rnacentral:tRNA from 1 species